rnacentral:pre_miRNA from 1 species
CAACUACUCCCUCUGUCCCAAAUUUCUUGUCUUAGAUUUGUCUAGACAUGGAUGUAUCUAAUACUAAAAUGUGACUUGAUACAUCCGUAUCUAGACAAAUCUAAGACAAGAAUUUUGGGACGGAGGGAGUACUUU